rnacentral:misc_RNA from 1 species
UGUGGGUACUCGGUCGAUGGCAUUAACAUGAGAAAUGUGAAUUGCUACUAUUUGUUUAGGAUCCUGGUUAUCGUUCUGACUCCUCCUGUAAAGGUACUUCUUCCCAAUCAUAAUAAUCCUUUCAAAAUGAGACUUGAGGGUAUCCUCUUCCAUUGGCCCUUGCAAACGUUGAAAUAACUGUCUGGCACUGCCCUUCGGAAUGCCAGGCAAAGUUGAAGGAUAAGAUUGAGAAGACCCUGAAUCAUCUGCACUAUCAGCCCCAUCACCAGCACCCUUAUCCAUUAAAAUUUUGUGACGUUCUUUGCACUCUUUUGGCUUGCGGAAUAUACACUUAAAUUGAAGGGCGCUGUUAAUGGCAUCACUUACAAGCUCCCAAUUAGGACCCAUAUCAUGUGCAAGGACAACAAGUGCCUGGUCUUCAAAAAGUGACCAUGGACUUCCAGAACCUGGCUGCCCAGCAGGCGCCUUCAGAGAUUUAGGCUUUCUGCCCC